UGGAACUUGGACUGUUAUGAGCAUGUUCCAGAGACAAGUGCAUCAAGGGAUGAAAUUAUUGGUCUUAUUUGGCCUUUGAAUGAGCAAAGGUGAGCUUGUAAGUGGCAGUAGACCACGUAGAACAUUUGGAACAGAGUUUCCUCUCUAUUUUGGCGUGCUGCCACAAACCAGGGGAGUUAACUCGGAAUCGUGAAUUACACCUAAUGGCUACGGAAGGGCAAGGCGGUGAGCGUAGCAGCACACAAACUGGAAACAUGCAUAGAAGCUCCAGUUGCACCCCCUUCCAUGCUGCUGCGGUGUUGGUGGGGUCUGGAACACACGGCCAUCUGACAAUAUCAAACAUGAUCCCAGUGCUUGAAAUGUUGAUUGGAGGCUAAGCAGGAUGUACUCCAACAUGGCAUUAUGGAGAGAAAGUGGAAAGGACUCAGGUAGAAAGGAAGGCACAGAGAGUCAAAAUCACCCUGAUCUCCAUGUUUACUAUUCUCCAGAAUACUCUGAAGUAACCUAACAUUUCUUUUUGUUUUAUGGCUGGAAUUUUAAAUUUAUUAUAGUAUUUCAGUAGUAUUGAUCUUCA